CUGUGGGAGACCGUGUCAAAAGCUUUGCUAAAGUCAAGAAACAAUACAUCCACUGCUUUCCCUUCAUCCACAGAACCAGUAAUCUCAUCAUAGAAGGCAAUUAGAUUAGUCAGGCAUGACCUUCCCUUGGUGAAUCCAUGCUGACUGUUCCUGAUCACUUUCCUCUCAUGUAAAUGUUUCAGGAUUGAUUCUUUCAAGACCUGCUCCAUGAUUUUUCUGGGGACUGAGGUGAUGCUGACUGGCCUGUAGUUCCCAGGAUCCUCCUUCUUCCCUUUUUUAAAGAUUGGCACUACAUUAGCCUUUUUCCAGUCAUCCGGGACUUCCCCCGUUCGCCACGAGUUUUCAAAGAUAAUGGCCAAUGGCUCUGCAAUCGCAGCCGCCAAUUUUUUAGCACUCUCGGAUGCAACUCGUCCGGCCCCAUGGACUUGUGCACGUCCAGCUUUUCUAAAUAAUCCCUAACCACCUCUUUCUCCACAGAGGGCUGGCCAUCUAUUCCCCAUGUUGUGAUGCCCAGCGCAGCAGUCUGGGAGCUGACCUUGUUCGUGAAGACAGAGGCAAAAAAAGCAUUGAGUACAUUAGCUUUUUCCACAUCCUCUGUCACUAGGUUGCCUCUCUCAUUCAUUAAGGGGCCCACACUUUCCUUGGCUUUCUUCUUGUUGCCAACAUACCUGAAGAAACCCUUCUCGUUACUCUUGACAUCUCUUGCUAGCUACAGCUCCAGGUGCGAUUUGGCCCUCCUGAUUUCAUUCCUACAUGCCCAAGCAAUAUUUUUAUACUCUUCCCUGGUCAUAUGUCCAACCUUCCACUUCUUGUAAGCUUCUUUUUAUGUUUAAGAUCUGCUAGGAUUUCACCGUUAAGCCAAGCUGGUCGCCUGCCAUAUGAGAAUGAGAAUCAGCCAUGGAUGGGGCUGACAUAAAUGGGAACUACUUUUGUAGUAUGCUCUGACUUUGGAGAUUCCCCUUGAUCCUGAUAUGAGGAAACUCUGCCCAAAUCACAUAGCAAAUCUCCCAUGUCCACUGGUAAGGGAUUGGAGCUUCAAGCUCUGAAAUAUUGUCCAUUCCCUUUGAGGUAUCAGAUUGGCAACCAAGUCUUCUGGUGUUUUCCCCAUCUCUCUCACUUGUUCACUGUGUGACCUUAGAGAUCAGGGAGUCCAGGGAGCCAGAUGCAGAUAUAUUAUUUGAAUUUUAACACCAGUGGGUUAUUGUAAUUCCAGGUUGGAGAGGUGGGUGGGGAUUAUGUACUCAGUAUUUACAAUACCUUGGAAAAUAUUCAGUCAGUUUUCUGUGUUUGCAGGAGAACUAGGACCUCCGGGGUUCCCUGGAAAGGCAGGAAAAGCUGGCCGAAAAGGAGAAAGAGGUCUUGUUGGCCCCCCUGGAGCGAAAGGAGAUAAAGGAGACACGGGAGACCCUGGACUUCCUGGAAUACCUGGUGAGACCCUCUGCACUCUCCUUUAUACUGAGCACAACAUUUCAGUUUUAUUUCUGCAGCACUAAAAAUUAAGGGGCUUAAAAGGCGUGUUUCUUGAAUAGAUACCAUGUCCACAAUAGUUACCAUGUCCAAAAUAUCAAUAUCAAUCCUCCUGUAAGAUUUGGGAUCUAUAAAGAGAGAAAUAGCUGUGCCUACAAAAACAGGUGGCCAUCCAUGUGUUGUAACAUCUGGAACAACACUAGCCAGAUGACCUUUGGUAUGAGAGAGAACAGCUGAAAUGUAAGUGAAAUCUGUAGAUCUGGAGGUGUAUCCUAGAGAAGGUUACUUUUGCCUACCUCUCUUUAUAUUUCCAACAUACUGGGAGUGCGGAGUAUGAGUCACAAAAAAAUGGAUCUUGUUUAAAUGUCCAGUUAAAGGAAUGACCACUUUUCUACCAGUACUUUAUUUAACUGUUAUUCUCCCAUUGUCAUUUGGAAUUUUAAAAAAAAAGUACUGAGUCAAAUUCUCAGCUAGCGUAAGCAUAUAGAACUCCCUUGACUUUGUGGGCAUUGCUUCUAGUUACUGACCAGCAAUUAAUUUAGUCUAUUAAGGACGAAUUCUUAGCCCUGCAAGUAAGAGCCUCAUGAGAGGGUUACAAAAUAGCGUUGGUACAUAAUGAGAGCUGUCUUGAUGGUUCAGGCUGGAAGGCUCAGAUCAGAGGUGUGUGUGAAUCCAUUAGCACUUGGAU